UGCGGAAGGAUCAUUACAGUAUUCUUUUUGCCAGCGCUUAAUUGCGCGGCGAAAAAACCUUACACACAGUGUUUUUUGUUAUUACAAGAACUUUUGCUUUGGUCUGGACUAGAAAUAGUUUGGGCCAGAGGUUACUGAACUAAACUUCAAUAUUUAUAUUGAAUUGUUAUUUAUUUAAUUGUCAAUUUGUUGAUUAAAUUCAAAAAAUCUUCAAAACUUUCAACAACGGAUCUCUUGGUUCUCGCAUCGAUGAAGAACGCAGCGAAAUGCGAUAAGUAAUAUGAAUUGCAGAUUUUCGUGAAUCAUCGAAUCUUUGAACGCACAUUGCGCCCUCUGGUAUUCCAGAGGGCAUGCCUGUUUGAGCGUCAUUUCUCUCUCAAACCUUCGGGUUUGGUAUUGAGUGAUACUCUUAGUCGAACUAGGCGUUUGCUUGAAAUGUAUUGGCAUGAGUGGUACUGGAUAGUGCUAUAUGACUUUCAAUGUAUUAGGUUUAUCCAACUCGUUGAAUAGUUUAAUGGUAUAUUUCUCGGUAUUCUAGGCUCGGCCUUACAAUAUAACAAACAAGUUUGACCUCAAAUCAGGUAGGACUACCCGCUGAACUUAAGCAUA
rnacentral:rRNA from 1 species